GGCUCUAUCGUCUAACGGUUAGGACGAAUCCUUCUCAAGGAUUAAAUCGCGGUUCGAUUCCGCGUAGAGUCACAA
rnacentral:tRNA from 10 species